CUUACCUACCCUUGACAUGUACGGAAGUCCGCUGAGAGGUGGAUGUGCUCGAAAGAGAACCGUAACACAGGUGCUGCAUGGCUGUCGUCAGCUCGUGUCGUGAGAUGUUGGGUUAAGUCCCGCAACGAGCGCAACCCUUGUCCUUAGUUGCUACGCAAGAGCACUCUAAGGAGACUGCCGGUGACAAACCGGAGGAAGGUGGGGAUGACGUCAAGUCCUCAUGGCCCUUAUGGGUAGGGCUUCACACGUCAUACAAUGGUCGGUACAGAGGGCUGCCAAACCGCGAGGUGGAGCUAACCCCAGAAAUCCGAUCGUAGUCCGGAUCGCAGUCUGCAACUCGACUGCGUGAAGCUGGAAUCGCUAGUAAUCGCGGAU
rnacentral:rRNA from 1 species